rnacentral:tRNA from 1 species
UUUUUUUCGAAUCAUAUCAUUUCAUUAUAUUGACAAUUUCAAAAAACUGUUCAUACUAUUUAUUAUGAACGUA